GACGAACGCUGGCGGCGUGCUUAACACAUGCAAGUCGAACGGAAAGGCCCUGCUUUUGUGGGGUGCUCGAGUGGCGAACGGGUGAGUAACACGUGAGUAACCUGCCCUUGACUUUGGGAUAACUUCAGGAAACUGGGGCUAAUACCGGAUAGGAGCUCCUGCUGCAUGGUGGGGGUUGGAAAGUUUCGGCGGUUGGGGAUGGACUCGCGGCUUAUCAGCUUGUUGGUGGGGUAGUGGCUUACCCAGGCUUUGACGGGUAGCCGGCCUGAGAGGGUGACCGGCCACAUUGGGACUGAGGUACGGCCCAGACUCCUACGGGAGGCAGCAGUGGGGAAUAUUGCACAAUGGGCGGAAGCCUGAUGCAGCAACGCCGCGUGCGGGAUGACGGCCUUCGGGUUGUAAACCGCUUUCGCCUGUGACGAAGCGUGAGUGACGGUAAUGGGUAAAGAAGCACUGGCUAACUACGUG
rnacentral:rRNA from 1 species